rnacentral:rRNA from 1 species
GAUGAACGCUGGCGGCGUGCUUAACACAUGCAAGUCGAACGGAAAGGCCCAGGCUUUCUUGGGUUCUCGAGUGGCGAACGGGUGAGUAACACGUGGGUGAUCUGCCCUUCACUUCGGGAUAAGCCUUGGAAACUGGGUCUAAUACUGGAUAGGACCACUUCUUGGAUGUUGUGGUGUAAAGAUUUUGGGGUGUGGGGUGAGCUCGCGGCCUAUCAGCUUGUUUGUGGGGUAAUGGGCUACCAAGGCGUGGACGGGUAGCCGGACUGAGAGGGUGUACGGCCACAUUGGGACCUAGGUGAGGCCCCGGUAGCUAAGGGAGGGAGCAGGGGGGAAUAUUGACGGAGGGGCGCAAGGCUGGUGAUGAGAGGCCGCGUGGGGGAAGACGGGCUUCGGGGUGUAAAACCAUUUCGCUAGGGACGAAGCGUUUUGUGACGGUACCUGGAGAAGAAGCACCGGCUAACUACGUG